rnacentral:rRNA from 1 species
CGGAGGAUCCAAGCGUUAUCCGGAAUCAUUGGGUUUAAAGGGUCCGUAGGCGGUUUGAUAAGUCAGUGGUGAAAGCCCAUCGCUCAACGAUGGAACGGCCAUUGAUACUGUCAGACUUGAAUUACUGGGAAGUAACUAGAAUAUGUAGUGUAGCGGUGAAAUGCUUAGAUAUUACAUGGAAUACCAAUUGCGAAGGCAGGUUACUACCAGUGGAUUGACGCUGAUGGACGAAAGCGUGGGGAGCGAACAGGAUUAGAUACCCUGGUAGUCCACGCCGUAAACGAUGGAUACUAGCUGUUCGGAGCAAUCUGAGUGGCUAAGCGAAAGUGAUAAGUAUCCCACCUGGGGAGUACGUUCGCAAGAAUG